GGGCCCAUAGCUCAGUUGGUUAGAGCGGCUGACUCAUAAUCAGCUGGUCCCCGGUUCAAGUCCGGGUGGGCCCACCA
rnacentral:tRNA from 1 species